UACGUAGGAGGCAAGCGUUGUCCGGAAUUACUGGGUGUAAAGCGCGUGUAGGUGGGAGGCCAAGUCUGUGGUGAAAGCGCCCGGCUCAACUGGGCAGAGUCCAUGGAAACUGGUCACCUGGAGGACGGUAGGGGCGAGUGGAAUUCCCGGUGUAGUGGUGAAAUGCGUAGAGAUCGGGAGGAACACCAGUGGCGAAGGCGGCUCGCUGGGCCGGUCCUGACGCUGAGACGCGAAAGCGUGGGGAGCGAACAGG
rnacentral:rRNA from 1 species